GUUCUCUAUUUCUCUCUCUCUCUCUCUCUCUCUCUCUUGCUAAAAAUCAUGAUUAGCAACCUGAAGCAAAAAACUCAGUUUCUCUUGCACGAAAUCAAUUUUCUUCCCAUCAUCGAUUUUGACUGCAUGCACACCUAUCAAGCCCUAUAAUCCAACCGAACUCACUCCCUUCAAGCCCAUAUUUGCUCUUCCACUCGCUGCCCAGAAAAUCAAGUUCUCAAGCGAAACCAUCGCGACCACUAGGGGCCACUACCGCGUUAAAUUACGGGCUUCAAUCGUUUUCUAAAACCUUCUGUACUCAUGGUAAGUUAUUCUAGGUUUUAUUCCAUAUUCAGGUCAUCCCCAAUUUCAAAAGUUUAGGGAAUUGGUUCGUUUCCGUGUUGCAUGUUUAACAUUCUUCUGUGUGAUGCUGAGUUGAGGCUAUACAAACUGGAAUCGUUGAAGGUUGGGUUGAAUUUGGCCAAAUUUGGAACCAGAAAGACUUUUUCAAGUAUUAAAUGUUAGGGUUUCAGUUGCCAAAGUCUGGCGACUUGAUUCAGGUCGAACGCCGCCGAGUCGGACACCUCUGUUACGAUGUAAAGUGAAUCGUAGAGCUCGGUUGCUGGAUGGAGUUGCUCAGUUCGCGCAUAACAAGGUCGAUUUGGAUUCAGGUUGCCUCCAAAUUUUCUUGCUUUUUACCAUUCUCUGCUUCGAAUUACUAAAUCACUUCAUUUUUUUUGGAAAUUUUAUUGGUGGUGGAGUUAAUUACUGAGAUAAAGUUGUGGGCUUUGUCUUUGUGUUUAUUUUGGAUUGGAGAUUCCCUUCUUCCCAUUCCUCUGUAAGCCCCUUUUUACUUCACUGUCACUAUUGUGCUACUCAAUAUUCAGUCAAUGAAGAAUGUAAUUAAUUUA